AAGAAUUACUUUGUUUGUAUCAACUUUCCGCAGAGACUAACCACAUGCAAGCGUGGUAUGUGGAAAGAUUGUGAGUGUAAUCCUUGUGAUUUGAUAGUAACUGCCAAACAAACAUCUGCAAAACUGACUACAGCAACAAGGUAUGAAAAAUAAAGUUGGAAGAGAAGCUACUGCCAUGGUUGUGACAAUGAAACACUAGGUAUUGAAGCCUCCAGUCCUUGUUUGCCAUGUAUAGCAGAAUUUAGCACAUUAUACUGCUGGUGCUUUGGAGGACCCUGAGGCUAAGAUGGUAUAUACAAAGGCA
rnacentral:misc_RNA from 1 species